rnacentral:tRNA from 1 species
GGGGCUGUAGCUCAAUUGGGAGAGCGCUUGAAUGGCAUUCAAGAGGCAAGGGGUUCGAAUCCCCUCAGCUCCA